ensembl:snRNA U6 U6 spliceosomal RNA
GUGAUAACUUUGGCAGCACAUAUACUAAAACUGGAACAUCACAGAGAAGAUUAGCACCCUGUGCAAAAAUGACAUGCAAAUUUAAUUUCACUUCAUUUUU